rnacentral:lncRNA from 1 species
UCAUGAUGUAGGAAGUUCCUCAGAUAAUGUAACAUUGUUUCCUGUUUGUUCCAAAGCAAGAGCCAGGAUUUUUUUGCUGCAUACUCCUCUUUCCUUUUGUUUACUGGACAAAGCUGAAUUGAAUCAACAAAUGUGACUACUUCACAGAUGGGUGAGGCUUGUUGCAGGCUUGACCUGUUACAGGACCAAUUCUAUUAUUCAGCUCCCUCCUGAGAUUGUCUCAGGCAUGUUAACAUGCUUUUUAAAAUAUAUUUUUGAAUAUCAAAGUUCCACAGCAAGGUGCAAGGCUGCUCAGAAACAUGCAGUGCAGUGUUUUUGAAGCUGAGCAAACAUUUCCAGCUGCCCAUCAGCAAGUGGGAAAGACCAAGUCCCAGUUUUGAGACCAUUCCUUCUGGGGCCUAGAGUGAUGCAGAAGCAACUUCCAAUUGCUUUGUGCUAUCUUGUAUACAUGCAGGGCUGUGCCUGCAACCUGUGCUUUUUCACAUUAGUCCUGCUGCAUUUUAAAAAGCUCUUAAGAAGCACAAGAGAAGAUAUUUGCUGUCUGGAGAGCUGUUCCAUUUCCCCUCUGUGGAAGCAGUGGCAGAUAAGGAGAGCACUGUUGCUUAGGGAAGAAUGGUUUGUGGUUAAGUCCAUUACCAUUUGCCUUACUCAAGACUGCAAGCCUGUCUCCAUGUGAAAGUUGGUGUCUUUGCUGCCUGUAACCCAGUUUCUGAACUCUUGUUGGGAGAGAACUGCUGAGGUAAAUAUCCUGGUAAGUAUGCAGGUGAGCACAUUGUCUCACUGCUUGCACUCAGCCUAUGACCAGUGUGGUCUUCCCUUUUUUACUUAAGUUGUAGUUUAUUCACCUCAGGUUUGUUUACUCCUAACAAGUAGGCUUAUUACUUGUUAGUUCAUUGCUUAUGGAUUGUUUGCAUUUAGGUUAAAGUAGGUUUGAUGGAAAAUUAUACCCAAUUAAUAAUCUUCACAUAAUUAACUGAUUUGCUAACACCGAGUUUGCUACCUGCUCACAAAAUUUGACAUACAAGAAUAUUUUUAUAUUAUGUAGGUUCCGAUUAUGAGCAGAGGAGCUUCACAGAAUCACAGAGCUUCAAGGAAGUUCAAAACGUACAUGACUCUGGAACGCAUUUGGCUGAGCUAUGGAAUAGCCUGCCAUGUUUCUGGAAUAAAGAAAUAGGCUUUAUGUUUUAAGUGGGGAGA